UACGUAGGGUCCGAGCGUUGUCCGGAAUUACUGGGCGUAAAGAGCUCGUAGGCGGCUUGUUGCGUCGACCGUGAAAACCCGGGGCUCAACUUCGGGCUUGCGGUCGAUACGGGCGGGCUAGAGUUCGGUAGGGGAGACUGGAAUUCCUGGUGUAGCGGUGAAAUGCGCAGAUAUCAGGAGGAACACCGGUGGCGAAGGCGGGUCUCUGGGCCGAUACUGACGCUGAGGCACGAAGGCCAGGGGAGCAAACGGG
rnacentral:rRNA from 1 species